AGUGAACGCUGGCGGUAGGCCUAACACAUGCAAGUCGAACGGCAGCACAGUAAGAGCUUGCUCUUACGGGUGGCGAGUGGCGGACGGGUGAGGAAUACAUCGGAAUCUACUUUUUCGUGGGGGAUAACGUAGGGAAACUUACGCUAAUACCGCAUACGACCUACGGGUGAAAGCAGGGGAUCUUCGGACCUUGCGCGAUUGAAUGAGCCGAUGUCGGAUUGGCUAGUUGGCGGGGUAAAGGCCCACCAAGGCGACGAUCCGUAGCUGGUCUGAGAGGAUGGUCAGCCACACUGGAACUGAGACACGGUCCAGGCUCCUACGGGAGGCAGCAGUGGGGAAUAUUGGACAAUGGGCGCAAGCCUGAUCCAGCCAUACCGCGUGGGUGAAGAAGGCCUUCGGGUUGUAAAGCCCUUUUGUUGGGAAAGAAAAGCAGCAGGUUAAUACCCCGCUGUUCUGACGGUACCCAAAGAAUAAGCACCGGCUAACUUCGUG
rnacentral:rRNA from 1 species